rnacentral:snRNA from 1 species
AUCGCUUCUUGGCCUUUUGGCUAAGAUCAAGUGUAGUGUAGUGUAGUAUUAUUUAUGUUUCACUUAUGUACGUAUUUUUGGUAAAAAACACCAGCAACCUUGCUAAUAAUAAAACCUAAAUGUAUGUGUUGUAGGUUAGAACUA